CCCUCUCCAUGACGGCGAGGAUGCUGCUGCAGCCGCGUCUCCACCUGUGCAAGUCGUCCCCUCCGCCAUCGCCAUGCCCCCAGCGCCCGCCCCCAGCGCCCGCCCCCACGUGGAGGCUGGACCCUCGGCCGUGGUCCGAGAGCUGCGGUUGGAGUCUGCGCCAGGGCCGGUCCUCUCUGACUUCAGGGUCAGGGGAGCAGAGCCUCGGGGUCCACCCAGGAACGGCUGCCUUCAUGACGUGAGUCUGCACCUUUCAGACCUGGGGGCUAAAUCAGACUGCCGCAGCUUUUCCUCGUGGGAUGAAGAGGCAGCCUCGGAAACCAGGACACGCAGCAGCCUGUCUCCAGGGGGAGCUGGCUCAUUAAUUGCUCCUAAAUUGGACAGAAGGAUGGUGGGACUUCAAGAGAGCCCCUCCUGAGAACCGUGGCCUCGCAUUGCAGCCCGAGAUCGCCCGCCUCCUGGCCUCGGCUUCCCCCCUCCCCCACUGCCUGCUCCCCACAGACCUGGCCACUUCCAAAAACAUCUGGGGGAGAAGAGCGCGCUGCAGAGGGUUCUGUGAAAGGCAGGGGCAGGGGCAUCAUGCUGGUCCAGGGCUGGGCCUGCUGGGAACAGUGAAGCCUCCUCUCUGACGGCAGGGUGGGUGGGCAGGCACCGCUGCAGGGCCCAGGCGAGGGGGGCAAGGGGCCAGUUGGGACCUGGCCGGGCACCCCAGAGCUGACCGAGGCGCUCGGGAGCCCAGC
rnacentral:lncRNA from 1 species